rnacentral:rRNA from 1 species
UACGGAGGGUGCAAACGUUGCUCGGAAUCAUUGGGCGUAAAGCGCGCGUAGGCGGCGAAGCAAGUUGGAUGGUGAAAGCCCUGGGCUCAACCUAGGAUGUGCAUACAAAACUGCUUCGCUUGAAUCUCGGAGGGGGUCGGGAAGUUCCCGGUGUAGCGGUGAAAUGCGUAGAUAUCGGAAGGAACAUCAGUGGCGAAAGCGACUUCCUGGACCAGUACCGACGUCAGGCACGAAAGCGUGGGGAGCAACAGG